CACCUCUGUAACUGUUGCUUGCUGCUUUCUCUUUAGGCAACACCCAAAGCCACUGUCAGAUGUCAUGGAGAUGAGACCUCACAAGCCUACUCAACGUGAAGAUGAUGAGAAUGAAGACCUUUAUGAUGAUCUGCUUCCACUUAAAGAAUAGCCCAUCAUGAUCUGAAGGCAGCGGUGGUUGCUGGUGGAGGAUGUGAGCUUUGGAACUGGAUCUCUUUGAUUCAAAGCUCUGCCGCUUACUCACUGGAUAAGACCAUGAUCAAGUUAUUUCAUCUGAAAAAUUGAGUUGACCGCAGGUAACUGAAACUGCGGAAAGUGAAACCGCAGAUAAGAGGGACCACUGUAAAUAAGUGACAUGAAUGAUACUGCAAAGGACCAUAGCCUAACCGGCCAAGCAAACUGGAAGUACCUUUAGACUCACGCUUUGCCAAGCUCAGUUCCAGAAUCACAUGAUGAAAAGAAUGAUGGAAAGAAAAUGUUUGUGAUAUUAAAAUUAAGGAAAUUACUCCAA
rnacentral:lncRNA from 1 species